GUAUGGCACAAUAAUUCUGCAUUGAAUCAGUUGAUUCAAUUGCUUAUUCUUUAGGGUUCAAACCCUUUGUUCUCCCCCUGGGGUGAGAGAUCCCUGAUGGUCACAUCUGUCUUUCAGGCUGUGUGCCAGCCUCUCACACAAAUAUAUCCUGCAGCCAGCCCAGCUCAGGGAGCGGUGGGACAGGUGAUCUCAUCCUGUCAAACCAAGCGGCAUGGGUCUCAUUGAGGCUCAUACAGAAGAUCCCAUGCAUCUCCUGGAGGUAAGAACCGUUCACUCUUCCUGCCACUUGGGGCUCUUGCAACAAACAGGACACUCUUGCUACAUAUCUUGGUUGGGAGCUUUCCCUAUCCCUGGAUCCCAGCCCUGGUACAGAGACCUAUUUCUCAUCAUGAUAUCCUCACGUUAUUCUCAGAGGAUGUAUCCAGGAUCCUGGAGAAUAUUUUCUGCAGGAGGUUUGAGCGGGGAAGAGAUGACUCACUUUCACGACCCAGGGGUCUUCAACCCAGGUCUGCAGGGUUCAUGGGAGAAGCCACAGUGCAACCCUCCGCCUGACAGCCUACUGGAAAUUGCUUACCUAGGACCCAUGAAGUUCAUCCCCAGUUUGAGGCUCCACUCCUGAAGUCCUAUUGGAGAAGUCCCAGAGAAGCUAAUUGGCCCCCUGGCCCUGCUUAAGGCAGCAGCAGAAACAGGAAGCUGACUGAAGACCGGAGCUGCUCCAUGUUCUGGACCGUUUGCUGCCUGUUUCUGCUGCCAUUCCCCUGGCUUGAUUUCCUGGCAUCUGAUUUGUGGUUGUGAUCGCAAGUUUGUCUUUUGCUUCUGAUCUUCCAGUAUCCUGACCCAGCUGACUCUCGACUCCUGUCAUGGCUCCCUAUCUGUCUUGGAGCUGAACCCCAGAUGGGAGCUGAUAGAUUGUCCUUGGUGGGCUAUGUUCUUGUGUGUGAUGGAGCUGUGUGCCAGAGAGGGCCAGGAGCAGAUGCACCACACAUGGCCAGGACCAGGCUAAACAGCCUGUAAUACUAGACAGUCAGUCCCUGAGACCAGUUUGCAGAAUGUGGAAGAGCCCUUUGGCGAUGUGUUGGAGGAUUCCCCAUGUAGAUGGCAGCAGCUGCAGUGUCUUGGAUCCCCAUGGGCCAAGCCUCCACUCCUGACACUGAAGGCUAAUCUCCCACUGCUCUCAGUGGGGCUUGGCUUUAGGUGCUGGGCCUGCGUGCCUUGACAGAGGACUCAGGUAUUUCCAUCAGGCUGCUCAAUGGCAAAUGCAGCCAUACCAUCCACAGAACUCAAGAAUGGAAGUGAAAGAGCAGAGCUGGACCAUCUGCUGCAAUCAAGUCAGCAGAGCCGGGGAGAGAAGAGGGAGAAUUCGAAGGUGGCUGGCUGCUGUAGGGAAGAAAAGCCCUUUGGGAGCCAGGGGAGUUGAAAUAAAGAGUUAAUGAUGAAUACUGCAGGCUUUAUCUUGUGUGGUGAAGGGCUCUCUUUACUAUCACACUAACCUUUAAAAUAGCUGUGUCUGAUGAAAGGGCAGAUCUA